rnacentral:rRNA from 1 species
UGCGUAGGCGGAAUAUUAAGUCAGUGGUGAAAUCCUGCGGCUCAACCGUAGAACUGCCAUUGAUACUGAUAUUCUUGAAUGUAGUUGAAGUAGGCGGAAUGUGUAAUGUAGCGGUGAAAUGCUUAGAUAUUACACAGAACACCGAUUGCGAAGGCAGCUUGCUAAACUAUGAUUGACGCUGAUGCACGAAAGCGUGGGGAGCGAACAGGAUUAGAUACCCUGGUAGUCC